CCUCCAUUAUUGCUAGUUACUUGUUGCCAUUAUUUGACCUUUAUGACUAAGAAUAACGAAAAUCCACAGUUUUCAAAUAAUCUACUGUUCAAGAAAUAUGUAUUCAUAAUAUAAUACAUAAAAAUCGAAAUAAAAUUGUUGAAAUGUUUAUGAAAGAGUAUGAAUUGCUGUUGUUUUAAUUUGUUCGUUUUCCCUAGAGUGGCAGAACUCUAAGCUAGACACUUCUGUCACAAGUUUUGAUUUUUGAACGUAGAAUGAUUCUGGCUUUCUCCAUACAAAAAAUUCAAAACAUUGUAGAAACGUGGCUGAAUGAAUAUUUAAAACAGGUAUAAUGGAAUAAUGGGUUGUGUUAGAUUCUUUCAGACACCAUAGUGGAAAUGGAACCCCUGCCCUGGCCAGAUGGGAAACUAAAGUUUCUCUUCUCACCAUUAUUUUCAUUGAACUUCAUUGCAACAGUGAUAAUAACUCAAACAAAUCUCUAUUCUCAAAGGGUGAUGGUGCGAUACAGAAGGGUAUGCCUCACAAGUCUUACCAUGGUAAAACGGGACGAGUAUUCAAUGUAACAAAACGUGGUUUGGGUAUAAUUGUCAAUAAGCAAGUAAAG